GAUAUUUAGCUUUCCUUAGUCAUUAAGCUAGGAUCCCUUAGACUCUAUAAAUUGAGAGCUUGUCCCAAAUUCACUCUCACAUUUUCAACAGCCCAAGGAGAGGGUGAGAGAGGGAGAGUUGGCUUAAGAGAAGUAGAGAAGUAAGAAGAAGAAAAAAAAAGAAGAGAAAAAGAAGGAAUCAAAGGUGAUUCAAGAAGGUGAAGGUGAGGAAGCAGCUUACGACGGGGAAGGUUAUCCUGAAGACAAUCAAGAUGAAGUGUUGGAGCCUUGGUUCACUUGAAAAUUUGGAUUAGUAGUUUGUUUUUGUUUUCCCUUUUCUUUUAUCUUUUGGCUUGAUAGUGUUUUGUAAACUUCUAGUGUAACUCAAAUUAGUUAUCUAUGCUAUAACUCUGCUUAUAUGUGUAUAUUAAAAUAUUGUGGUUGUCUCU